rnacentral:rRNA from 1 species
CCUACGGGAGGCUGCAGUGGGGAAUAUUGGACAAUGGGCGAAAGCCUGAUCCAGCCAUGCCGCGUGUGUGAAGAAGGCCUUCGGGUUGUAAAGCACUUUCAGUGGGGAAGAAAGCCUUGGGGCUAAUACCCUCGAGGAAGGACAUCACCCACAGAAGAAGCACCGGCUAACUCCGUGCCAGCAGCCGCGGUAAUACGGAGGGUGUGAGCGUUAAUCGGAAUUACUGGGCGUAAAGCGCGCGUAGGCGGUCUGAUAAGCCGGUUGUGAAAGCCCCGGGCUCAACCUGGGAACGGCAUCCGGAACUGUCAGGCUAGAGUGCAGGAGAGGAAGGUAGAAUUCCCGGUGUAGCGGUGAAAUGCGUAGAGAUCGGGAGGAAUACCAGUGGCGAAGGCGGCCUUCUGGACUGACACUGACGCUGAGGUGCGAAAGCGUGGGUAGCAAACAGGAUUAGAUACCCUUGUAGUC